CAAGGAAUUUUCCGCAAUGGGCGAAAGCCUGACGGAGCAACGCCGCGUGCAGGAUGACGCAUUUCGGUGUGUAAACUGCUGUUCGGGGGGACGAAGCACUGACGGUACCCCCGGAGGAAGGCCCGGCUAACUACGUGCCAGCAGCCGCGGUAAUACAUAGGGGCCAAGCGUUGUCCGGAGUUACUGGGCGUAAAGCGUGCGCAGGCGGCUCGUUGCGCCCGACGUGAAAGCCCCCGGCUCAACCGGGGAGGGUCGUCGGGGACGGGCGAGCUUGAGGGUGUCAGGGGCUGGUGGAACUCCCGGUGUAGUGGUGAAAUGCGUAGAGAUCGGGAAGAACACCCGUGGCGAAGGCGGCCAGCUGGGACACACCUGACGCUGAGGCACGAAGGCGUGGGGAGCGAACGGG
rnacentral:rRNA from 1 species